rnacentral:snRNA from 1 species
GGGUGUGAGGACCAUCUGCUUGAGACAUCUGUCACCCCACUGACCGUCAGGGUUGAUUCUGCUGCUCCGGCUGUCCAGGUGGGUGUCCCCUUCCUCCCUCACUGUGCCAUGUGCAUCCCUCCUGAAGCUGUGCUCUUGCUCUCUGUUGAAGAGGAUGACCUGCCUUGCUAGAGGAGGUCAAGGGCAUAUGAGUAGCUUCACUCCCCUGCUAGAACCUCCAAACAAGCUCCCAAGGACCAUCUCAGGGUCAGGACAAGGGUGAGAAAGUGAGAUACUAACCUCAGUCCAAAACAUUUUGUGAUCCCAGAGAAACAGUAUUUUCAUACAAUACAUUUUUUUUUUU